rnacentral:rRNA from 1 species
UUGACCUCCGGAUCAAGUANGGAUACCGCUGAACUUAA